UGCAAGUCGAACGGUAAAUGGUAGCAAUACUAUGAGAGUGGCGCACGGGUGAGUAACACGUAUGUAACCUACCCAUUACUGGGGCAUAGCUUCGAGAAAUUGAAAUUAAUUCCCCAUAAUAUUAUUAACGGGCAUCUGUUUUUAAUUAAAGUUUUUCGGUAAUGGAUGGGCAUGCGGCCCAUUAGCUAGUUGGUAGAGGUAACGGCCUACCAAGGCUACGAUGGGUAGCUGGUCUGAGAGGAUGAUCAGCCACACUGGCACUGAGACACGGGCCAGACUCCUACGGGAGGCAGCAGUAGGGAAUAUUGGGCAAUGGGCGAAAGCCUGACCCAGCCAUGCCGCGUGCAGGAUUGACGGCUCUAUGAGUUGUAAACUGCUUUUAUACGGGAAUAAACUCCCCGACGAGUCGGGGUUUGCAGGUACCGUGCGAAUAAGCAUCGGCUAACUCCGUGCCAGCAGCCGCGGUAAUACGGAGGAUGCGAGCGUUAUCCGGAUUUAUUGGGUUUAAAGGGUGCGUAGGCUGGUACUUAAGUCAGUGGUGAAAUCCAACGGCUCAACUGUUGAACUGCCGUUGAUACUGGGUACCUUGAGUUUAGUUGACGCGGGCGGAAUGUGUCAUGUAGCGGUGAAAUGCAUAGAGAUGACACAGAACACCGAUAGCGAAGGCAGCUCGCGAAGCUAACACUGACGCUGAUGCACGAAAGCGUGGGGAUCAAACAGGAUUAGAUACCCUGGUAGUCCACGCUGUAAACGAUGAUCACCAGCUGUGGGCGAUACACAGUCCGUGGCCAAGCGAAAGCGAUAAGUGAUCCACCUGGGGAGUACGUCGGCAACGAUGAAACUCAAAGGAAUUGACGGGGGCCCGCACAAGCGGAGGAGCAUGUGGUUUAAUUCGAUGAUACGCGAGGAACCUUACCUGGGCUUGAACGUAUGGUGCAUUAGGGUGAAAGCCCUAUUUCUAGCAAUAGACUUCAUACCAAGGUGCUGCAUGGCUUGUCGUCAGCUCCGUGCCGUGAGGGUGUUAGGUUAAGUCCUGCAACCA
rnacentral:rRNA from 1 species